rnacentral:rRNA from 1 species
GACGGAGGGCGCAAGCGUUGUUCGGAAUUAUUGGGCGUAAAGCGCGCGCAGGCGGUCCUUUAAGUCUGAUGUGAAAGCCCACGGCUCAACCGUGGAGGGUCAUUGGAAACUGGGGGACUUGAGUACAGAAGAGAAGAGUGGAAUUCCACGUGUAGCGGUGAAAUGCGUAGAGAUGUGGAGGAACACCAGUGGCGAAGGCGACUCUUUGGUCUGUAACUGACGCUGAGGCGCGAAAGCGUGGGGAGCAAACAGG